GGCGGGUCUCCCCGCAUUGCAAGGUGGUGAAUCGGGUCAGGGCCGGAAGGCAGCAGCCACAGCCAUAUAUUGCAAGUGCCGGGGGUCAGGCUCGCCACC
rnacentral:SRP_RNA from 1 species